rnacentral:rRNA from 1 species
UACGUAGGGCGCAAGCGUUAUCCGGAAUUAUUGGGCGUAAAGAGCUCGUAGGCGGUUUGUCGCGUCUGCUGUGAAAACUGGAGGCUCAACCUCCAGCCUGCAGUGGGUACGGGCAGACUAGAGUGCGGUAGGGGAGAUUGGAAUUCCUGGUGUAGCGGUGGAAUGCGCAGAUAUCAGGAGGAACACCAACAGCGAAGGCAGAUCUCUGGGACGUUACUGACGCUGAGACGCGAAAGCGUGGGGAGCAAACAGG